UCCUAAGGACAACUCGGGAGAAAACAUCACAUUUGAAAACACAUCUGAUUUUAAUUUAACGUAUAUACAGUAUUUGAGAGUGUGAGAGGUGUCAAAGUGUUGACUGAUAGAAUAAAGAUGCAAAUGUAGCAAGUAAGUAAUUACCCAGAAUUCUCCGGCUGAUUUUGACAAGAUUGGCUCUGGUGUGGCCCAACAACGAAUCGAGAGGAAAUCCAUACUUCUGAAUGAGGCGGGAAUGCAAUGGCUUCUGUGUAAUACCAUGAUUUGGGGUUUAUUUUGAAGGCUUAUCUCCGGGAUGCUUCAGACCUGUUUCAGCUGCAGGUUCUCCGGCUGGUACCGGGUGGCUGCCUGGUUAGCGCCAACCGUCUGGGCCUGAAGUCCGGCGCUGUCCGUGGUUGCUAAGGCAACCUGGUUCACCAAGGUCACAAUGCGACGCAUGAUACUGUGAGGCGAUCACAGGACCGGCCCGGACAGGGAGACAGAAAACCCAUUGAACCCCCAAUGUCCACAAUCAACUGGUAGGGACCCCUGUGUAUACCUGUUCAUUCAUGAGAAUCACCAUUCCUUCUAAAUGACUAAAUAACAGUAACAGCAAAUACAUGCCGAUUGCCCAAUAUACUGAUAGUUACUCAUCUUUUAUAAAUGCAAAAUGUUGAAACGUGCGGUGGUUUGUUAGGGAGUCAGGGAGGCCUAUAUUCCGGUCAACCAUGUCCAUGCAGCAGUUUCAUAUCCUCUCAAGAGUUAUCAGAUUUGAUGACAGAGCUACACGACCUUUCCGCUGGUGAGAUGACAAACUGGCUGCCAUCAGGAACGUUUGGGACUGGUGGGUGGAGGAGCGUCUACCACUAAUGUACAACCCAGGCCCCGAGGUGACCGUGGACGAGCGCCUGGUCCCUUUCAGAGGUCGCUGUCCAUUCAAACAGUACAUCCCAAGCAAACCAGGCAAGUAUGGGAUCAAGAUCUGGGCAGCAUGUGAUGCCAGGAGCAGCUACGCCUGGAAUAUGCAGGUUUACACAGUGAAACCUGUUACUGGAAGGCCAGAAAAAAACAAUGCAUGCGUGUUGUGUUGGACAUGACAGCCGCUCUCAAGGGGCAUAACAUCACAUGCGAUAACUUUUUGACAUCACAUGGGCUUGGUCAGGAGCUGCUAAAAAGAAAGCUCACCAUAGUAGGUACAGUGAGGAAGAACAAGCCUCAACUUCCCCCUGCACUGGUUUCGACCAGAGGGAGAAAUGCACUCUCAUCCAAAUUUGCUUUCACUGACACACAGUCUUGGCCAAGAAAAAUACCUAAGAACCCUAAGAACGUCAUCCUGACACAAAUACGCCGCUGUCAGCAAAGCAGAGCACAGGAAACCCCAGAUCCUCCUGGACUACAACAGAAACAAAGGAGGCGUUGACUGCCUUGAUAAGCUUACUGGUACAUACACCUGCAAGUGAAUGACAGCUCGUUGGCCUCUGGCAGUGUUCCACAACAUCCUUGAUGUGUCUGCAUGUAAUGCAUAUGUUGUGUGGACAGCAAUCGACCCAGCCUGGAAUCAGGGGAAAUGUUUCAAGAGGAGGCUCUUCCUGGCAGAGCUUGGGAAAGCUUUAGUGACUCCUCUAAUUCAACGGCGCCAGCACCUUCCCCGCACACCAGCCUCUGGCAGUCUGGUGAGGAGUCUGCAAGCCCCCGCCACUGCCCUGGCCGCUCUCCCCCCAAUACAGGGGCAGAAACGGAAGCGAUGCGAGCUCUGUGCCCCUAGAGACAAUGAGACAAGUCUUACAUGUUUCAAAUGUGAUGCAUACGUUUGCAAGGCACACUGCGACCUGAUUGCAAAAUGCCACUCCUGUGUUUGAACACACACACA